rnacentral:lncRNA from 1 species
UUUUUCUUUUUUUCUUUUUAGGAGAGGCCAACUCCUUGCAGAUGUCAGUGGCAUUAGCAUUCUCUUUCUUGAUGUUAGGACCAUAGUCUACUGGACUUGCAGAAGAGAAUUGAUCUUAGCUUUGCUGGAGGCGUGUAGCCUACGAAUGAUGCUGGCCUGUCCUCUGUGCACUCCAGCCAGGUGUCCAGAUGUUUGUGGAACUUCCCGUUAUUCUAAGCUCUCAAGAUUCAUGGCAGACAAUUUACUCUAGUACAAACAAAACCUUCUAGGAUAAGCUUCUGGCAUUGCCGUGAGCUGUGGCAUAGGUUGCAGAUGUGUGCCAGAUCUGGUGUUGCUGUGGCUGUGGUAUAGGCCAGCAGCUGCAGCUCUUAUUUGACCCCUAGCCUGGGAACUUCCAUAUAGUGUGGGUACAGCCCUAAAAGGGAAAAAAUAUAAAAUAAAAUAAAAUAAAAGGCAAGUAAAAUACUAUGGAACAGAAAGUUUAGAGAAAGUCAGUUAACCUCGUCAAGUCUUAAUUCCUUCCAUUGCAAAUGGGGUUAAAAAUAGGACCUACAGGAAGUCAUUAUGAGGAGUCACUGAUACAAGGCACAUGAGAUUCAUAGAAUAUUCCCGACUUAGAGCAGAGAAAUUAGGAGUACUCAUCUUCUGAGUCCAAAUCCUAGCUCUAUUACUUGCUUGUGGUUGGACCUUGGGAAAUUAUAUAACUCUCCGUUCUUUGAUUUUUCUCAUUAUAACAUGGGAUUAAUAAUAAUACCUCAUUCAUAGAUUUAUUAUCCUCAUAACAAAUGAACUAAUGUUUAUAAAGCACUUCUUAUAGGGUAAUGCUUAGUUAUUGUUUGCUAACUAAAUAACGUAGUUAUAAGUACACAAAUGUAAAUUAUCAUUAUUAUAUAUUUAUUAAAAACAAAUAGAAUAUUUUUGGAAAACUUAAAAAUUACCAUAUGAUUACCUUGAGAAUUUAGGAAUCUAAAUAAGGAUAUAAUUAUGAACUUAAUAUAUUGUUAAAUCAAUAUUAAACACAAAUAUAUUUUAAAGAAAACAAGCUAGAAUUUUAUUUGUCAUAACAACACUGAAAAAAUUAUUUUUCAAUCCUUACUAAUGCUAAAACUAAUGGGCAUUCUUUACUCAUAGUUUUAAUUUUGUUU